UAUGGCAGAUUAGUGCAAUGAAUUUAAGUUUCAUAAAUAAAGAUUUUUAAUNNNCUUUUAUUAAAA
rnacentral:tRNA from 1 species